CACUCCUGCGGGAGGCAGCAGUGGGGAAUAUUGGACAAUGGGCGCAAGCCUGAUCCAGCCAUGCCGCGUGAGUGAUGAAGGCCCUAGGGUUGUAAAGCUCUUUCACCGGUGAAGAUAAUGACGGUAACCGGAGAAGAAGCCCCGGCUAACUUCGUGCCAGCAGCCGCGGUAAUACGAAGGGGGCUAGCGUUGUUCGGAUUUACUGGGCGUAAAGCGCACGUAGGCGGACUAUUAAGUCAGGGGUGAAAUCCCGGGGCUCAACCCCGGAACUGCCUUGGAUACUGGUAGUCUUGAGUUCGAGAGAGGUGAGUGGAAUUCCGAGUGUAGAGGUGAAAUUCGUAGAUAUUCGGAGGAACACCAGUGGCGAAGGCGGCUCACUGGCUCGAUACUGACGCUGAGGUGCGAAAGCGUGGGGAGCAAACAGGAUUAGAUACCCCUGUAGUCCC
rnacentral:rRNA from 1 species